rnacentral:rRNA from 1 species
GACGAACGCUGGCGGCGUGCUUAACACAUGCAAGUCGAACGAUGAUGCCCAGCUUGCUGGGCGGAUUAGUGGCGAACGGGUGAGUAAUACGUGAGUAACCUGCCCUUGACUCUGGGAUAAGCCUGGGAAACUGGGUCUAAUACUGGAUACUACUUCUUACCGCAUGGUGGGUGGUGGAAAGGGUUUUACUGGUUUUGGAUGGGCUCACGGCCUAUCAGCUUGUUGGUGGGGUAAUGGCUCACCAAGGCGACGACGGGUAGCCGGCCUGAGAGGGUGACCGGCCACACUGGGACUGAGACACGGCCCAGACUCCUACGGGAGGCAGCAGUGGGGAAUAUUGCACAAUGGGCGGAAGCCUGAUGCAGCGACGCCGCGUGAGGGAUGACGGCCUUCGGGUUGUAAACCUCUUUCAGUAGGGAAGAAGCGAGAGUGACGGUACCUGCAGAAGAAGCGCCGGCUAACUACGUGCCAGCAGCCGCGGUAAUACGUAGGGCGCAAGCGUUGUCCGGAAAUUAUUGGGCGUAAAGAGCUCGUAGGCGGUUUGUCGCGUCUGCUGUGAAAGCCCGGGGCUCAACCCCGGGUCUGCAGUGGGUACGGGCAGACUAGAGUGCAGUAGGGGAGACUGGAAUUCCUGGUGUAGCGGUGAAAUGCGCAGAUAUCAGGAGGAACACCGAUGGCGAAGGCAGGUCUCUGGGCUGUUACUGACGUUGAGGAGCGAAAGCAUGGGGAGCGAACAGGAUUAGAUACCCCUGGUAGUCCAUGCCGUAAACGUUGGGCACUAGGUGUGGGGGACAUUCCACGUUUUUCCGCGCCGUAGCUAACGCAUUAAGUGCCCCGCCUGGGGAGUACGGCCGCAAGGCUUAAACUCAAAGGNAAUUGACGGGGGCCCCGCACAAGCGGCGGNGCAC